GGCCUCUUCACUGAUUUUUAAUCUCUGGCUCAUGGGUACUGCCUCUCUCCUGGGUACUUCACUAUGUGAAGUUUUUCUUCCAGCAUCCCAAGCAUAAACCUAACCCUCAGCAGGUGUUCCUGACCAGUUUGGUGGGUGGUUAAACUACACAGCAAGAUGUAUAUUUCCUGUGAGAGAUGGUGUUAUUUACCACGUGGUUUUCUCCUAAUAGAACCCACCUCCCAUAAUAGAAGCUGUAAAUUCCACCAACUUCUGCUCCCAGCCUGCCUUACAAAUGGAGGUUGACAAGGGACUCAUUUAUGGUGAAUAAGACUUAAGAAGUCUCCAAGGGGCUUUUCCCCCUCCUUGAUAUAAAGAGCACCUCAAAAGAGAGAAACUCUCUUGCCUGUCCUCUUCCUUCCUGUCGCUGAACACAACUGUGAGAGACUGUGAUGCCUGGAGCUGCAGCAGUGAUCUUGAGAUGAUGAAGCAAUAGCUGUGGUGGUCAUCUUGAGACCGUGAGGCAACACCUGUGGCAGCCAUCUUGAGACCAUGAGGCAAUGGCCUGGAGACAAAAGCCAACAUGUUCAAAAUGAUGCAGUAGAAAUGUUGGAAGUGGGUCUUUGAUUAUUCAUCCUUAGAUUCAAGCAGGUGUUCCUGACCGGUUUGGUGGGUGGUUAAACUACACAGCAAGAUGUAUAUUUCCUGUGAGAGAUGGUGUUAUUUACCACAUGGUUUUCUCCUAAUAGAACCCACCUCCCAUAAUAGAGGCUGUAAAUUCCACCAACUUCUGCUCCCAGCCUCCCUUGCAAAUGGAGGUUGACAAGGGACUCAUUUAUGGCGAAUAAGACUUAAGAAGUCUCCAAGGGGCUUUUCCCCCUCCUUGAUAUAAAGAGCACCUCAAAAGAGAGAAAUUCUCUUGCCUGUCCUCUUCCUUCCUGUCUCUGAACACAACUGUGAGAGGAUGUGAUACCUGGAGCUGCAGCAGUGAUCUUGAGAUGAUGAGGCAACAGCUGUGGUGGCCAUCUUGAGACCAUGAGGCAACAGCUGUGGUGGCCAUCUUGAGACCAUGAGGCAACAGCCUGGAGACAAAAGCCAACAUGUUCAAAAUGAUGCAGUAGAAAGGUUGGAAGUAUGUCUUUGAUUAUUCAUCCUUAGAUUCAAGCUGGGAAGUCCAAGAUCAAGGUGCUGGCAUUUUGCCAGGGCCUUCUUGCUGUGUCGCCACAUCCAUGGCUGAAGGUAGAAGGGUCAAGAGAGAGUGAGAAGCUGGGCACGGUGGUUCACGCCUGUAAUCCCAGCACUUUGGUUCACGCCUGUAAUCCCAGCACUUUGGGAGGCCAAGGUGGGCAGAUCACCUGAGGUCAGAAGUUCAAGACCAGCCUGGCCAACCUGGUGAAACCUUGUCUCUACUAAAAAUAUAAAAAUUAGCUGGGCAUGGUGGCAGGUGCCUGUAAUCCCGGCUACUCUGGAGGCUAAGGCAGGAGAAUCACUUGAACUCAG
rnacentral:lncRNA from 1 species